AUCGGUCACCGGGUGGUAGUCCUUUGUGUGGAGAUUUUCCACUCGGGAUGCUUGGGAUCUGUUGCCCGGGAAAAGAUGAUCGUCGUUAAAGGAAUUAAGCGUCCACUGCCAGUUCGUCUAGCAAGAUUGAUGUGAAGUGCCACCACAAUUGAUGGUUCUUGUGCUUUCUUGAUUGAUCGUGACGUUUAGUACUUCACGGCUACGACUACGUGACUCCCUUGACCUUUUUUUGAGCCGGCUUUUGAUCACGCAUUGAGAUGUGUGACUGCCGUUACUGGUUACUGGGCCACUGGUCUCAAGUGUACUCAACGACACACACCUGUUUGACGGCGAGGGUUAAUAUUUGCCCUACAGCGUGGAUCGUUGUAUCGGGUUCUGAUAUCAGCAGCUCCGGAAGUGGGUAAACUCACCGAUGAACUUCCCCACACGCGUCACCCGGACUUACCGGUGCAAGCAACUUGCCGACUAGUUCAAGAGCGUAAAAAUGUGUGUUUUCCCCCGGAUCCUCCCAUCACAUCUCAUCAGGUUGAUACACAUUCGUCUGACAUGAUAUCGAUCUUUGCCUAUAUCAAUACUGCAAAGGUACACAGAUAGGGUAAUGGAAUACAGCACGGCAAGACCGGACUGGUCAAGUGGCCGGCGACUGACACUGAGCGCCGCAUCAUGUUCAUCCCCAGUCAAAAGGGGACUGCGCGAAUGCAAUGGUUUUUGUAUUUCUGCAAGUAGUGAAUCCGCGGCUGCUGGCGAAUGAUAAGAUAAAACUGCGCCACUUGAGAGUGAGAGUUCGUGCGAGAAGGAAGUGUGCAGUUUUUGCAUCUUUGCUGUGGGACUUCUCGGAUCGGGAGUGCUAGUUGUACUAGAGCUUGGGGCUUUAGAUACACGUUUAUCAACGUGACACGGUUGGAAUAGAUGCUUGAUCUAGUAGCAAUGGGUACUACCCUGAGGUGGAUUUGUGUGAUUGGAUUGGUGGUGUGCGUGAGUGCCGGUGUUGUGGUCGAUUAUUAUGAGGAUGAGGGAAGUGCAAACGGACCGCCGACAACUUCGAUCGUACCACAACUGAUAAUUGGAAUGCGAGCAUUGUUUGACGCUCCGAUCGUGUGCCCGGAUGGAACCGUACUGGAUCACAAGGGUGUAUGCCGACGACCGAUGGGGAGAUGAAGUUCAAAUUUACAGUUCCCUAAAUCAACCCAACAAUGUAUCCCAAAGUCGAUCUUCACAAUCACUAUGAAUAUAUUCUAAAUGUUUGUUUAACUACAACACCUUACGCCAAAGUGAUGCAAUAAAGCUUAACCUACUGUCAUCAAUUGA